rnacentral:rRNA from 1 species
GCAGGCCAACUCUUGGUGAAGGACGAAGAGAUUAAGCAUAGAUGGCGGGAGUACUUCGACAAGCUGUUCAAUGGGGAGAAUGAGAGUUCUACCAUUGAACUGAAUGACUCCUUUGAUGAGACCAGCAUGCGUUUUGUGCGGCGCAUCCAGGAGUCUGAGGUGAAGGAGGCUUUAAAAAGGAUGAAAGGAGGCAAGGCGAUGGGCCCUGAUUGUAUCCCCAUUGAGGUGUGGAAAGGUCUCGGGGACAUAGCGAUAGUAUGGCUAACCAAGCUUUUCAACCUCAUUUUUUGGGCAAACAAGAUGCCAGAAGAAUGGAGACGGAGUAUAUUAGUACCAAUCUUCAAGAACAAGGGGGAUGUUCAGAGUUGUACUAAUUACCGUGGAAUUAAGCUGAUGAGCCAUACAAUGAAGCUAUGGGAGAGAGUCAUUGAGCACCGCUUAAGAAGAAUGACAAGCGUGACCAAAAAUCAGUUUGGUUUCAUGCCUGGGAGGUCGAACAUGGAAGCCAUUUUCUUGGUACGACAACUUAUGGAGAGAUAUAGGGAGCAUAAGAAGGACUUGCAUAUGGUGUUCAUUGACUUGGAGAAGGCCUAUGAUAAGAUACCGCGGAAUGUCAUGUGGUGGGCCUUGGAGAAACACAAAGUCCCAGCAAAGUACAUUACCCUCAUCAAGGACAUGUACAAUAAUGUUGUGAAAAGUGUUCAAACAAGUGAUGUCGACACCGAUGACUUCCCGAUUAAGAUAGGACUGCAUCAGGGGUCAGCUUUGAGCCCUUAUCUUUUUGCAUUGGUGAUGGAUGAGGUCACAAGGGGUAUACAAGGAGAUAUCCCAUGGUGUAUGCUCUUUGCGGAUGAUGUGGUGCUAGUUGACGAUAGUCGGACGGGGGUAAAUAGGAAGUUAGAGUUAUGGAGACAAACCUUAGAAUCGAAAGGGUUUAGGCUUAGUAGAACUAAAACCGAGUACAUGAUGUGCGGUUUCAGUACUACUAGCUGUGAG